UACGAAGGGGGCUAGCGUUGUUCGGAAUUACUGGGCGUAAAGCGUGCGCAGGCGGCUUCUCAAGUCAGGGGUGAAAGCCCAGAGCUCAACUCUGGAAUUGCCUUUGAGACUGAGUGGCUUGAGUACGGGAGAGGUGAGUGGAAUUCCCAGUGUAGAGGUGAAGUUCGUAGAUAUUGGGAAGAACACCGGUGGCGAAGGCGGCUCACUGGCCCGUAACUGACGCUCAUGCACGACAGCGUGGGGAUCAAACAGG
rnacentral:rRNA from 1 species